AUUGAACGCUGGCGGCAUGCCUUACACAUGCAAGUCGAACGGCAGCACGGGCUUCGGCCUGGUGGCGAGUGGCGAACGGGUGAGUAAUACAUCGGAACGUGCCCUGUAGUGGGGGAUAACUAGUCGAAAGAUUAGCUAAUACCGCAUACGACCUGAGGGUGAAAGUGGGGGACCGCAAGGCCUCAUGCUAUAGGAGCGGCCGAUGUCUGAUUAGCUAGUUGGUGGGGUAAAGGCCUACCAAGGCGACGAUCAGUAGCUGGUCUGAGAGGACGAUCAGCCACACUGGGACUGAGACACGGCCCAGACUCCUACGGGAGGCAGCAGUGGGGAAUUUUGGACAAUGAGCGAAAGCCUGAUCCAGCAAUGCCGCGUGUGUGAAGAAGGCCUUCGGGUUGUAAAGCACUUUUGUCCGGAAAGAAAUGGCUCUGGUUAAUACCUGGGGUCGAUGACGGUACCGGAAGAAUAAGGACCGGCUAACUACGUGCCAGCCGCCGCGGUAAAAC
rnacentral:rRNA from 1 species